UACGUAGGGUGCAAGCGUUAAUCGGAAUUACUGGGCGUAAAGCGUGCGCAGGCGGUUAUAUAAGACCGUUGUGAAAUCCCCGGGCUCAACCUGGGAACUGCAUCUGUGACUGUAUAGCUAGAGUACGGUAGAGGGGGAUGGAAUUCCGCGUGUAGCAGUGAAAUGCGUAGAUAUGCGGAGGAACACCGAUGGCGAAGGCAAUCCCCUGGACCUGUACUGACGCUCAUGCACGAAAGCGUGGGGAGCAAACAGG
rnacentral:rRNA from 1 species